rnacentral:misc_RNA from 1 species
UACGUGAGCCCCAAGCGUUAUCCGGAAUCAUUGGGCGUAAAGGGUCCGUAGGGGGCUGUAUUAGUCCCGUGUUAAAUCCAGAGGCUCAACCUCUGGCUCGCGCGGGAAACGGUACAGCUAGAGGGUGUGAGAGGUUGGCGGAACUCAUGGUGUAGGGGUGAAAUCCGUUGAUAUCAUGGGGAACACCGAAGGCGAAGGCAGCCAACUGGCGCAACCCUGACCCUGAUGGACGAAAGCUAGGGUAGCGAACGGG